ACCUCCACUCUAUCUCUCUCAAUCUAGUAGAAACUGGAAGAUCUAUUUCUACUUUACAUUGGUUGCUAAGCCUAAAAAGAAAUUUUAUUUAGAGAAGAGGUUUUCCUUCGAGGGCACCCCUCAAUCUCUAUGAUAACUUCUUGUCUUCUCCAGGGGCCAGGGGGGUCUCCUUAUAUAGUCCUCCUCCUCUAUGCAUUUUUGGGUCGGUAGGCGAUGUGGUACUACGUUAUCCUUGAUCCAUUAGGUCGGUGGAACAUCGUGUGCGAAGAGAGUCCUGAUUGGCUUCCAGAGGGGGGCGGGCGCCCAGGUCCUUAGGGCGGGCGCCCUGGGCCUGGCCCCUUUUGGCCUCUGCUUUCUUCCCGUGGCUUCUGGAGUCUUCUAGAUGGUAGAAAAUCACGCGGUGCGUUGAUAUCUCUAUGUAAUCCCGACAUGUGGGCCUUUCUUCCUUCUUUCCUGAUAACCCCCUGCAGAAACAGAUAAACAACAAAACUCGUGGAAUUCUGUCAGAUCAAACCCUAAUUCUAGGUAUUGGUUGCAUAUUGGUCCUUUCUCUUGUUUAUUUGAUAAUUAAAAUUGAUACUUAAGAACCGUCAACAAAUACCCCCAUACUCCUCGAGAAAAGGAUGGUUAAGAACAAUAUCUGGGGUAAAACCUUUUAAAACAUUCUUUUCAUAAUUGCAGGGUGUUAAAAUUCCACUGUGUACUAUAGUCAGGGAAGUAUAUAGUUUAAGAGUAAAGAUCCUUUGUUCUCAAUCUUGUCACUUGGAGUUUUUGUAUAUUUUUGAAAGAAAGUUAGCAUACCUUUUAUCCUCAUAGGUCUUCUCAGAUCACUCAUUAUCUUUUAUAUAUCUCAUUGAGGCUGUUUUAAUUUGCAAAAAUUCUCAAGCAUACUUACUUUUCAUUUAUUGCCUGAUCAAAACAGGAUCCGAGGAGGGGAAUGUCAUACUCUUAGAUCAAAGACUUGCUGGCAUAUUGCUUAUUAGAGGGACCAUGGGCUAUCAUUUUUUUCUCUUUUCUUUUCUUUUUUUAAGUGGAUACCGAGGUAUCCCUAAUUCUACUGCCGGACACUUGUCCAUUUUUCUGUGAGGUUAUCGAGCACUUGCUCCUUUUUAUUCCCUCGAAAUAUCUUUAUUUUUGCAUAGCUCAUGCCUCUAAUGCAAUAAUACUUCGGAAGAGUGAAUCUUUCUGAAUAAUUGUCUUGAUCUUAGGAGCAUGAUAAAUCUCUCAACAAGGGUCUAACUCAUUUUGAACAAACUCAAUACAGAGUAGAUAGCUUUUAUAAUUAUAAUUAAUAUUUUAAGUUUUAUCAGGCAUAUAAAACACUGAGGAUGGUAGCUAGAAUUUUAAAGAUUUUGAAAUAAAUUCUCCAAGCAACAAUGAUAUUAAGAAUAAGAAACUCAUAGUCUACCAUCUCACAUUCCAUACUGUCUUAAGUAACACAGGGUUUUAAAAUAAUUUUAUAAUAGUUGCAAGCUUUCAGAAAAUAUCACAGAGUGAGAUUAAUCAUAUUUAGAAACAUUUUAAUCUUUAUCAUGUUGGAAACAAUAUUCUGCAUAAUCCAAGAUAUGUGUAUGUGUAAAGUAAAGUGUGCAGAGUGUGUAUCUGAAUCGUGGAGUGGUGUAGUCGGAGUGUGUUUGGCAUGUUGAGGGAUCUCCCCCAUACUUGUUUUCUGCUUUCUUGCACAAAAAUAAAGUAGAGACACACAAAACAUAAUAAUAAUAAUAAUAAUAAUAAUAAUAAUAAUAAUAAUAAUAAUAAUAAUAAUAAUAAUAAUAAUAAUAAUAAUAAUAAUAAUAAUAAUACUCUUUAUUAACCUUGAGGCAUUUAUUACAAAUGACUAGUAGUAAACUGAUAGCAAUAGUAACAAACUGAUGAUAAUAGUAAACCUAAACCGAAUUUAAAGAUAGAUAACUAGGAUGCAUUGCCUCAAGGUCUAAUCUAGAUAACUCAGCGGCGCUCUAACUCCUUAAUCUUCUUAUUGGCACUGACAAGAUCCUGCCUAAGGCCUAGUAUAAUGGUGUUGUGGAU
rnacentral:lncRNA from 1 species